AACGAACGCUGGCGGCAUGCCUAACACAUGCAAGUCGAACGAGACCUUCGGGUCUAGUGGCGCACGGGUGCGUAACGCGUGGGAACCUGCCCUUAGGUUCGGAAUAACUCCCCGAAAGGGGUGCUAAUACCGGAUAAUGUCGUCGGACCAAAGAUUUAUCGCCUUUGGAUGGGCCCGCGUUGGAUUAGCUAGUUGGUAGGGUAAAAGCCUACCAAGGCGACGAUCCACAGCUGGCCUGAGAGGAUGAUCAGCCACACUGGGACUGAGACACGGCCCAGACUACUACGGGAGGCAGCAGUGGGGAAUAUUGGACAAUGGGCGAGAGCCUGAUCCAGCAAUGCCGCGUGAGUGAUGAAGGCCUUAGGGUUGUAAAGCUCUUUUACCCGGGAUGAUAAUGACAGUACCGGGAGAAUAAGCUCCGGCUAACUCCGUG
rnacentral:rRNA from 1 species